GACGAACCGAGCGAACGUUGUUCGGAAUAACUGGGCUUAAAGGGCGCGUAGGCGGGCUGUCAAGUCUGGGGUGAAAUCCCGCGGCUCAACCGCGGAACUGCCUCAGAUACUGACGGCCUCGAGGGGGGUAGGGGCGAGCGGAACUAAUGGUGGAGCGGUGAAAUGCGUUGAUAUCAUUAGGAACUCCGGUGGCGAAGGCGGCUCGCUGGACCUCUUCUGACGCUGAGGCGCGAAAGCUAGGGGAGCAAACGGG
rnacentral:rRNA from 1 species